rnacentral:rRNA from 1 species
UACAGAGGUCCCAAGCGUUGUUCGGAUUCACUGGGCGUAAAGGGUGCGUAGGUGGUAGGGUAAGUCGGAUGUGAAAUCUCCGAGCUCAACUCGGAAAUGGCAUUGGAAACUACCCUGCUAGAGGGUCGGAGGGGGGACUGGAAUACUUGGUGUAGCAGUGAAAUGCGUAGAUAUCAGGAAGAACACCAAUGGCGAAAGCAGCUCUCUGGGACGGUACUGACGCUGAGACGCGAAAGCGUGGGGAGCGAACAGG